UUUGUUAGCCUCUCACCCCUCUCCAAACUAAUCACGUGCCAAAUUGAUAAAAUUAUCACACUUUUCCUUUUUGAAUUCAGCAGACGUACCAUGAAAUAUCAUUAGCGCCUCCAUCUGCGUGCGCGUCAUUACCUAUCCGAGCGUAGGAGGUUCGCGCUACGCUCGCUAUCGUCAAAAUCAUUGUUUUACCAGACGAAGCUAUGACAAGUCACCGGUAAAUUUAAUCUAAUGAUAUGCAAAUUUGGGAAAAAAAGACAAUUAGGGCUGCUCAGACUGAUGUUGGCAUGCGUGUCAGAGCGCAGCUCCACCGUCCCCCGAUCUGCGGAUGCGUAUGAAUCAGAUUAGCGGAAUAAUGAGAGCGAGAGAGAGCUUUAGCCUCGAGUGGCAUUUUCAUCCAGGCCUGUUCCAGUGCAGGAGGAAUUUCUGUAAAGGCUUAAUAAUCAGCUCGUGAUUCGCGUUUAUCUCAGACGGAGAGUGUUUUCUGGUCUACGAACGGUCGUUCACGUCCUAAUAUGCGCGAUCGAGCAAACACAAUGGUGCUUCUGAUCUCCUACGAGCAUUCCUGUCACGUUUGAUAAAUAGCACGGGCCGAGAUGUAAAUAAGCUCAUAAGCUUCUACUGUGAUAUCUGCAUAACUGAUCUAUAAAGCUUCACCGCUCCGGUGUACUCCUGAACGCAGACAUGCAGCGACACAGAGCGACUUUGUGUGACUUUUCCUGAACAGUGCGAACACGUUUAACACGGCGCUAACCUCCCACCUAACUCUCACCGUUAAUGCACAGAGACUGCCCGUUUUUCAUGUUACUGUACGUUUCUCUUGGCAGGUCAGUCAGGGCCUCUACUUUCUUCAAACCAGAAGUCAUUUUCUCAUUUCUCAUAAUUAAGAGUUAAUUGGGAGUGCACCUGUGGUUGUAUUUAAAGUGCUUACCUUUACAGCCAGUGCCUUUUAACCCUUGAUACCAUGAGACAAUCUGCGGACCUCCGCAAGUCCAGUUCCUCCUGAGAGGCAGGUACCACGGGCAUCUGUACAAACUUUGGCCCUAAAGAACAAGCUUUAGUCAAGUUAAGUUAAGGCUCUGUGUUACUGAUUAGAAGGUCGGGAGUUCAAGCCCCAGCACUGCCACAGUCUGGGUUGCUGAUCGGAAGGUCGGGAGUUCAAGCCCCAGCACUGCCACAGUCUGGGUUACUGAUCGGAAGGUCUGGGGUUCAAGCCCCAGCACUGCCACAGUCUGGGUUACUGAUCGGAAGCUCGGGGGUUCAAGCCCCGGCACUGCCACAGUCUGGGUUACUGAUCGGAAGGUCGGGGGUUCAAGCCCCAGCACUGCCACAGUCUGGGUUACUGAUCGGAAGCUCGGGGGUUCAAGCCCCGGCACUACCACAGUCUGGGUUACUGAUCGGUAGAUCCAGCACUGCCAAGCUGCCACUGUUGUGCCCUUAACCCUCUCUGCUCCAGGGGCGCUGUAUCAUGGCUGACCCUGUGCACUGACCCCAACCUCCUGACAUGCUGGAGGAAAGAAUGACAUGUGAAGAAAAGAAUUUCACUUUGCACAUGCAUAGGUGAUCAGUAAAGACUUUUACCCUAUCCAGUAAAGACUCAUUUCCAUUAUCCUUAGUCCUAAAGGUUCGACUGAACCCCUAGACAACAAAGGAACUGGUGACGGAACUGGAGGCAUCAAGUACCCAAAUAUGUACAGCCACCUUUAAGAGAUUCUUACAUCGCUAUGUCCUGAGAGGCUGUACGGAAGAAGCCACUACUCCAAGACAGGCAUUUGCAUUAGAUCAGCAGCAUUUCCUCAGGUCAAAUAAAACAUAAUGGGCCAUAAUGAUCAAUUGUGAAGCAUGGGGGUGGCAGCAUCAUGUUAUGGGGAUGUUUUGCUCGGAAAGGGGCUGGUGCAUUUAUAUAAAGUAUAACCUCAAGACAUAAGACAGAAAGUUAAAACUUGGGUCUUCCAGCAGAACAGUGAUCCUAAGCAUACGUCCCAC
ensembl:lncRNA